rnacentral:rRNA from 1 species
UGAGCAAUCUGCCCUUCUCUUCGGAAUAAGCGUGGGAAACCGCGUCUAAUGCCGAAUACGACCUCCUUUCGCAUGAUCGGAGGUGGAAAGCUCCGGCGGAGAAGGAUGAGCUCGCGGCCUAUCAGCUAGUUGGUGAGGUAACGGCUCACCAAGGCUUCGACGGGUAGCCGGCCUGAGAGGGCGACCGGCCACACUGGGACUGAGACACGGCCCAGACCUCCGUACGGGGAGNAGCG